rnacentral:rRNA from 1 species
GCCCAGACUCCUACGGGAGGCAGCAGUGAGGAAUAUUGGUCAAUGGGCGAGAGCCUGAACCAGCCAAGUCGCGUGAGGGACGACGGCCCUACGGGUUGUAAACCUCUUUUGCCGGGGGACAAACGGCGGCACGCGUGCCGUCCUGAGGGUACCCGGAGAAAAAGCAUCGGCUAACUCCGUGCCAGCAGCCGCGGUAAUACGGAAGGUCCGGGCGUUAUCCGGAUUUAUUGGGUUUAAAGGGAGCGUAGGCCGGUCUUUAAGCGUGCCGUGAAAUUUUGUGGCUCAACCAUGAGAGUGCGGCGCGAACUGGAGACCUUGAGUGCGCGGAAGGCAGGCGGAAUUCGUGGUGUAGCGGUGAAAUGCUUAGAUAUCACGAAGAACCCCGAUUGCGAAGGCAGCCUGCCGCAGCGUUACUGACGCUGAAGCUCGAAAGCGCGGGUAUCGAACAGGAUUAGAUACCCCGGUAC